rnacentral:rRNA from 1 species
GAUGAACGCUGGCGGCGUGCCUAAUACAUGCAAGUCGAGCGAACAGACGAGGAGCUUGCUCCUCUGACGUUAGCGUCGGACGGGUGAGUAACACGUGGAUAACCUACCUAUAAGACUGGGAUAACUUCGGGAAACCGGAGCUAAUACCGGAUAAUAUAUUUAACCGCAUGGUUCAAUAGUGAAAGACGGUUUUGCUGUCACUUAUAGAUGGAUCCGCGCCGCAUUAGCUAGUUGGUAAGGUAACGGCUUACCAAGGCAACGAUGCGUAGCCGACCUGAGAGAGUGACCGGCCACACUGGAACUGAGACACGGUCCAGACUCCUACGGGAGGCAGCAGUAGGGAAUCUUCCGCAAUGGGCGAAAGCCUGACGGAGCAACGCCGCGUGAGUGAUGAAGGUCUUCGGAUCGUAAAACUCUGUUAUUAGGGAAGAACAAAUGUGUAAGUAACUAUGCACGUCUUGACGGUACCUAAUCAGAAAGCCACGGCUAACUACGUG